rnacentral:lncRNA from 1 species
AUAGAGUCAAUCCUCAACAAAGAAACACAACAAAAACUCUAUUUGCUUUUCCAUCUCUUAAGAAAAUACAUUUCUCCUCCAUCUCUUUAGCCAUGAUGGGGAAAGACUUGGACAAAAAACAUGGUGUUGUUAUCAAUACCGUCACACCAGCACUUGAGCAAUCAAAAAAUAUGGUGACUCAAGAAGAAAACAACUAAUAAAGCUUUAAGGAGUUAACGGAACAGUUGCAGAAGUAAAGAGAGGAGAACAUGCUUUAUGUACAACUUCAUUGUUUCUAUAGAUUUAUUCAGAUUCUAAUGAUGAAUCUGAAGAAGAAAGGGGGGGCAGGAGGAGAAGGGGAAGGAGAAGAAUAAGAAGAAUGAACAGAAAAGAUUGUUUCAGGAAGCCAUAAGAGUAAGUGAGAAUGAGAGCUUAUUCAUUAUCUGAAUUGUAUUAUUAUGUGAGUUACAUGAUCAUGAAUAUAUAGUUAUUUUAUAGUCAUAACUAUUAGCUGAAUCUGUAACUACUACUGCUAUAACUAAUUCAUACUCUGUAGUAACUAACUUCCAGAAUAGUUUGACAAUUAGAGUUAGUUGUAGUUAGAAGCUUCUUUUUUCUUGAUUCUACAUAUUAUUCACUUGUAUGCAUUUAUCAACGCUCCCUCUUAAACUUGAUUUUGGAAAAUAGAUUGAUAAGACCAUGUUUGGACAUGAGAUAAACAUGUUGAACUUUAGUGAGACCCUUGGUAAAUGUAUCUGCUGGCUAAUCAUGAGUUGAAAUAUAUUGAGUUUGGACUAGUCCUUGUUAUAUCUUCUCUCUAAUAAAAUGAUAAUUUAUCUCUAUUUGUUUUGUCCUCCCAUGGUAGACUGAAUUUCCAGCUAUCUAUAGAGUAGCUUUGUUGUCACUAAAUAUAAUUACACCUAGAUCCUUGAUUAAGCCAAUAAACCAUGUCAACUCUGUAACUGUUGAUGCUAAGCUUCUAUACUUUGAUUCAUCGAAUAUCCUAGAGACAGCUGAUUUCUUCUUUAACUUUCAAAAGACUAGAGAGUCACCUAGCUUAAUUGUAUAGCCUGUUAUAGAUUUCGUGGAGAAGGCACAUAUAGCCUAGUCUGCAUCACAGUGAGCAAUAAGAAUAUCCUUCUUAGUGCUUGACAUCAAAAGUCCUUGACCUGGUUUUUCUUUUAUAUACCUAGUGAUUAUUAGUGCAAUAUUUAUAUCUGAUUGCUUUGGCUGUUAUAGGAACUGUCUCAAAUUUUGCACUCUGUAGGCUAUAUCUGGCCUAGUCAUAGUAAGAUAGAGCAAUUUUCCCAUUAUCCUUUAUAUUUUUCUUGAUCUGUUAGGUUGUCAUCACUGUAACUUGUACCCUUUGAACGAUUUUGAUCAUACUCAACUGUUGUUAGCUUUACUGUUGUGUCUAUAGGUGUAGGAGUUUGUUUAGCAGCAGUAAAUCCUGAUCUGAAAUUAGUUCAACUGCAUACUUUCUUUGGUGCAUCAUAAUUCCUUACUUAGACCUUGCAAACUAAAUGCCAAAUCUUUUAUUUCGAAGGCUUUGUGCAGAGAUACUUUGGUUUUAAUUAUCUAAUCUAAUCUGCUUUCAGUAACUAGUAUGGCAUCCAUAUAUACUAGUGUAAUUAUCACUCCAUCACUUAACUCUUUGAUGUAGAAAGAAUGAUCAUACUGGCAUUAUCAGAACUUACACUUGAUAAGAGCCUGAUACAACUUUGCAUUCCAUUACCUUGGAGCUUGUUUCAAUCUAUACAAGGAUUUUGAAAGUCUGCAUACUUGUAUCCCUCCUGACUUUUAAAACCUUGUAGGAGUUCCAUGUAAAUUCCAUCAUCUAAAUCACCUAGUAUAAAAACAUUAAAGACAUCUAUUUAAUGGAUGUGGCAUUUCCUAGCUAAUGCAAUAGCCAACAUAUUCCUAAGAGUGACCAUUUUAAUGACCGGACUAAAUAUUUCUUGGUAGUCUAUCCCCUCUUUUUGGUUGAAACCUUUAGCUACCAACCUUGCCUUAAAUCUUUCAAUCUCUCAUGAGGCUUUGUACUUGACUUUAUAGAUCCAUUUGCAGCCUAUUAGUUGUGUCCAACCGGUAAUGUCACAACCUGCCAAGUUUUAUUAUUUUCAAGGACAACUAUUUCAUUCUACAUAGUCUCAAUUCACCUAGGUUCCUUGCUAGCAACUGCAUAAGAAGUAGGUUCCACAAUGUUAGAGAAGAAAGAUAAGUAACAUUGAUAUUUGGUAGAUAUAUUGUUAUAAGAUACAUAGUCAGAAAGAGGAUAUGUCACAGUGUCAUUGAUGCUCAAUGAUAUAAAAUCCUUCAUCCAUCCAGGAGGAUGUGUUCCUCUACUAGAUUUUCUUUGAGGUAGUUACGGCCUGCUAGUUGAUGCUCUUGUUGUGGUAGGCUGAUGUACUUCAGAAGUUACAGGAACGUGAACUAUAGGUUGAGAAGAUAUAGUUAUAUCUUACUCAUUCAGGUCAAAUCUUUAUGUACUUGUUGAAGCUGGUGAUCUAUCUGAAGCUGAACUUUGGAUGGUUGUUGCAGCUAGUAUUGCAUUUAAUAUCUUAGUGUUGAGAUGAGAAAAGAUUGAUUGGUCUGCUGUUGGCAUAUCUGUCUUGAAGGGAAUAUCAUCUUCUUUAAAUAUAACAUCCCUAUUGACAAAAAAGAUCUUGUUAUCUAGAUUAAAUAGAAUGUAACCUUUCUUAGUUUCAAAGUAGCUCAUAUGGACAGCUUUGAUUGACCUAGACUUGAGUUUAUCAGUUUCAUGUACAUUUUUAGCCUAACAAAAACAUCCUAGAACUUUUAUAUGAUCUAGAUUAGGAACGUGACUAUACAAUCUUUCAUAGGGAUUCAUGAAACCAAUUACAGAAUAAGGGAUUUUGUUUAUAAGAUAAGCAGCAGCCUUAACACAACGUCCCCAAAAAUUUAGAGGUAUAUUAGCUGAAGUUUAAUUGCUCUUGUCAUUUAUAAAAGGUGUCUAUAUUUCCUCUUAGCUACACUAUUUUGUUGAGGUGUAUAUGAAUAAGUGAUUUGGUGUAUAAUACCUAGAUCGCCAAACAAAUCAGUUCAUAUUUUGUUGACAAAUUUUGUAUCAUUGUCUGUUUUAAUAACUUUAACCAUGCUAUCAAAUUGAGUCAGAACAUAGGAAGUGAAAUGCUUAAUGACAAUAAUCACAUUAGACUUCAAUUUUAAUAGAAACACCCAUGUCAUGCUUGUAAAGUCAUCUACAACAGUUAAAAAAGAUUUGUUAUCAUCUUAGGUAAUGCCAUAUUUUGGUAUGUAGCAGGCUCAGAUAUUGAUCUUUUGUCAAAAAUAUCAAUAUCUGUAACCAUAUGAUUUAUAUCUCAUGUGUCAAUAAUCUACUCAUGUGAAUUAUUGCAUACUAACAAGGCACUACUUGUACCUGUCAUAUGGACUGAAUUAGCAACAGGCAUUCCAAAUAAAACUUGAAUUUGUUGCUUCAGUAUUUUGCAUGUCUGGUUAUAUUAUUUAGGUGUGAAUGUAGGAGGCAUAGGUACCAAAGCUGGUCUAUGCUUAGAUCCAUGAGAAGUGGAUGGCUCAGUAUUGCUAAGUUGUCCAUUUGACGACUUGCUAGAACCUUUUAGGCCUAAACUAUCAUGUUUUUCCAUUGAUUUGAUGGUAAUCACUUACUUAAUGCUCAUUUGUGUAGGUAAAGUUAAAAAGGAAAGAUAAGAAAGUCAUUCAAGUCAACAAAAGGCCAAA